ACGGGUGAGUAACACGUGGGUAACCUGCCCUUAAGUGGGGGAUAACAUUUGGAAACAGAUGCUAAUACCGCAUAAAUCCAAGAACCGCAUGGUUCUUGGCUGAAAGAUGGCGUAAGCUAUCGCUUUUGGAUGGACCCGCGGCGUAUUAGCUAGUUGGUGAGGUAACGGCUCACCAAGGCAAUGAUACGUAGCCGAACUGAGAGGUUGAUCGGCCACAUUGGGACUGAGACACGGCCCAAACUCCUACGGGAGGCAGCAGUAGGAAAUCUUCCACAAUGGACGCAAGUCUGAUGGAGCAACGCCGCGUGAGUGAAGAAGGCUUUCGGGUCGUAAAACUCUGUUGUUGGAGAAGAAUGGUCGGCAGAGUAACUGUUGUCGGCGUGACGGUAUCCAACCAGA
rnacentral:rRNA from 1 species